GGAUAUUGUGGUUCAGCGUGUUGGGAAUAAACUUUUCUUCGAUAAGAGGGAUGGGUCGCAACUUGAUUUGCUUGCCGUCCAUGAGACCUCUCAGGAACCUUUACCUGAGGCGAAGGACGAUAUCAAUUCCGCUUACUCACUCAGUGUUGAAGCUGCUUACAUUAAUCAGAACUUCUCGCAGCAAGUUUUAGUUAGGGAUGGAAAUAAGGUGGCGUUUGACGAGCCAAACCCAUUUGCAAAUGAGGGUGAGGAGGUUGCUUCUGUUGCUUAUAGGUAUAGGAGGUGGAAACUCGAUGAUGACAUGUAUCUUGUAGCG
rnacentral:misc_RNA from 1 species